ACACAUGCAAGUCGAACGGUAACAGCGGAGCUUGCUCCGGCUGACGAGUGGCGGACGGGUGAGUAACGCGUAGGAAUCUACCCAGUAGCGGGGGAUAGCCCGGAGAAAUUCGGAUUAAUACCGCAUACGCCCCAUGGGGGAAAGAGGGCCUCUUCUUGAAAGCUCUCACUAUUGGAGGAGCCUGCGUUGGAUUAGCUAGUUGGUGGGGUAAAGGCCUACCAAGGCGACGAUCCAUAGCUGGUCUGAGAGGACGACCAGCCACACUGGGACUGAGACACGGCCCAGACAGCUACGGUUGGCAGCAGUGGGGAAUAUUGCGCAAUGGGCGAAAGCCUGACGCAGCCAUGCCGCGUGUGUGAAGAAGGCCCUAGGGUUGUAAAGCACUUUCAGUUGCAAGGAAUAAGCGGGGCCAAUACCCCCGUCUAAUGACGUGAGCAACAGAAGAAGUACCGGCUAACUCCGUGCCAGCAGCCGCGGUAAUACGGAGGGUACGAACGUUAAUCGGAAUUACUGGGCGUAAAGCGCGUGUAGGUGGUCUGUUAAGUGGGAUGUGAAAGCCCAGGGCUUAACCCUGGAACUGCAUUCCAAACUGACGGACUCGAGUACGAUAGAGGGGGGUAGAAUUCGGAGUGUAGCGGUGAAAUGCGUAGAUAUUCCGAGGAAUACCAGUGGCGAAGGCGGCCCCCUGGAUUGAUACUGACACUGAGACGCGAAAGCGUGGGGAGCAACCAGGAUUAGAUACCCUGGUAGUCCACGCCGUAAACGAUGUCUACUAGCCGUUGGGAGGCUUGACCUUUUAGUGGCGCAGCUAACGCGAUAAGUAGACCGCCUGGGGAGUACGGUCGCAAGAUUA
rnacentral:rRNA from 1 species